UGCGUAGACGGUUGCGUAAGUCGGAUGUGAAAUCCCCGGGCUCAACCUGGGAAUUGCAUUCGAGACUGCAUAGCUGGGGUGCGGAAGAGGGAAGCGGAAUUUCCGGUGUAGCGGUGAAAUGCGUAGAUAUCGGAAGGAACAUCAGUGGCGAAAGCGGCUUCCUGGUCCAGCACCGACGUUCAGGCACGAAAGCGUGGGGAGCAAACAGGAUUAGAUACCCUGGUAGUCCACGCCAUAAACGAUGAGAACUAGACGUUGAGAGGGUAAGCCUCCCAGUGUCGUAGCUAACGCGCUAAGUUCUCCGCCUGGGGAGUACGGCCGCAAGGUUGAA
rnacentral:rRNA from 1 species